GGUCAAACUUGUUAUCAUUGGACUGAACACGUCGACUGCGCGCAUUGGGCCAUAUUUACCCCCGUUGCUGUCUUCUUUUUAAACGGCUGGCUUGCAUGCUGUCAAGUUGCCCUGAUUUUCCCAUGAUGACUUCUUAAACACCCUCAUGCGUACCGGGCGAACAUGCACAUGUCUGGAAACAUGCGACCAGAUACACUCGUUACCAGGCAACGACAACAAGAGUGGAGCAUGCCAACUGUAUUAUAAGGACAAAAUGGGGAAAAACCUGUGUUGGUGGUCACCGGUGCUCAGGACAGGAGAGGACGCUCGUUUAAGGCUUGCUUGAGUGUGCACAGCGCAACAAGCCCAGGAUUAAAGUGGGUCAAUUCUAUUUACCAUGGCGUCUGUGUGUGCGUACCUGAAGCGGGAGGCUGGGCAUGAUGCAAGUGACUCCAAAGCACACCAGGAGUAAGUUGGUGAAGA